UGGGGAAUAUUGCACAAUGGGCGGAAGCCUGAUGCAGCAACGCCGCGUGAGUGAUGAAGGCCUUCGGGUUGUAAAGCUCUGUCUUUUGGGACGAUAAUGACGGUACCAAAGGAGGAAGCCACGGCUAACUACGUGCCAGUAGCCGCGGUAAUACGUAGGUGGCAAGCGUUGUCCGGAUUUACUGGGCGUAAAGGAUGCGUAGGCGGAUUUUUAAGUGAGAUGUGAAAUACCCGGGCUUAACUUGGGUGCUGCAUUUCAAACUGGGAAUCUAGAGUGCGGGAGAGGAGAAUGGAAUUCCUAGUGUAGCGGUGAAAUGCGUAGAGAUUAGGAAGAACACCAGUGGCGAAGGCGAUUCUCUGGACCGUAACUGACGCUGAGGCAUGAAAGCGUGGGUAGCAAACAGGAUUAGAUACCCUGGUAGUCCACGCCGUAAACGAUGAGUACUAGGUGUAGGAGGUAUCGACCCCUUCUGUGCCGCAGUUAACACAAUCAAGUACUCCGCCUGGGAAGUACGAUCGCAAGAUUAAACUCAAAGGAAUUGACGGGGUCAUAGCU
rnacentral:rRNA from 1 species